rnacentral:lncRNA from 1 species
AAAGUCUGAAAUAAAUUAAUUUUAUUAACAGAAAAAAAAAGUUGGUUAUUCAGCUCUGACUGGGAUUAUAAAGUACAAUCUUUUAUCAUGAGUAUUCUCACCAUGCCACAGAGAAAGAGGCAGUAAGGGACUGAUUAGAGGAAGUGUUAUCUUCUCUGGCAGUGUUAUCUUAUAAUGCAAUAUAAACAUACGAUCUUACAGAUCAGAAUACUUCUUGGAGAGGUGUAGCUUGUAGCUUGUUUUAUAAUACCUAAGUAUUAGAAAUAUAGUCAUUGUAUGAAUUACAAGAGGAAAAGGAAGAAGAAAUGGCAAUUCAUGAAAAUCCAUACCUAGACUACAUCCAUAUCAAGUCUUACCACAUUAUAGAAUUCUUAAUUUACUUGCCAAUGCUGUUUUAAAAUACUACUUCAGUAGUCUUACACUCAUAUUGGAUGAAAAUCACACACAUCACCUAACCCUGGUGGUUUAUGUUAAACCAAAUCCUUAUCUGCCUCUAGCUCCUGCUGUAUUUCAAGUGUCUGAAUCCUGGUUGGGAUGAAAAUGCCCCUGAGGCAGAAAUGUUUCUUCAUGUUCAACCAGGCAGAUUAGACCCAAAGUGCUAAGUACAUAAUUUCAAGCAUGUGUUCUGAAACUGUUUAAAGCCACAGUAAACUAUAAAAGGCAAUUUCACAGAUACUCUUUUUGAAAGUGAAUAUAAACAUUAAACUCGAUAUUUUGCCUCGAGUAGUUUUUUUACAUUAUAGAGGAUUAAAAUCUGAUGCACAUUUUGCAACUCUCACUAUAAAAUUACUAUCCUAAAUUCAUCAAGACU